CUGGCUCAGGAUGAACGCUAGCGACAGGCUUAACACAUGCAAGUCGAGGGGCAGCAUAGAAGUAGCAAUACUUGGUGGCGACCGGCGCACGGGUGAGUAACGCGUAUGCAACCUACCUAUCAGAGGGGAAUAACCCGGCGAAAGUCGGACUAAUACCGCAUAAAACAGGGGCACCGCAUGGUGAUAUUUGUUAAAGAAAUUCGCUGAUAGAUGGGCAUGCGUUCCAUUAGGUAGUUGGUGAGGUAACGGCUCACCAAGCCGACGAUGGAUAGGGGAACUGAGAGGUUGGUCCCCCACACUGGUACUGAGACACGGACCAGACUCCUACGGGAGGCAGCAGUGAGGAAUAUUGGUCAAUGGGCGGGAGCCUGAACCAGCCAAGUCGCGUGAAGGAAGAAGGAUCUAUGGUUCGUAAACUUCUUUUGCAGGGGAAUAAAGUGCAGGACGUGUCCUGUUUUGUAUGUACCCUGAGAAUAAGGAUCGGCUAACUCCGUGCCAGCCGCGGC
rnacentral:rRNA from 1 species